rnacentral:snoRNA from 1 species
AUUCGGGUUGAUAACUAGGCAGCGAUCUCGAUCUUAAACCCACUCUACGACGUCUGCCCUUUAAGUACCCGAGAUAUCAAACCAAGGAGAAUUAUUCAAAUUCUUUGAUGGAGAUCUUACACGUUUUCCGGACCUUUCAUUUUCGCUGUGCUUGUUAACGUUUAAAUUUCCGUUACAUUU